UUUUUUUCUUUUUUUGUUUUUUUUUUCAGAGAAUCAUUCUAGAAGGAGAAAGAAGAGCUCCAUCUCUUCUUUGUAUGAAGUCAUACAAAGCAUGCCCAAAAAUGUUAUCCUGUAUUUGUUUGAAAGGUGUGCUGCUCUUGCUUCUUGCAAGAGGAGGGAGUUUGAGAUCUGUCCCUGGCUUUGUCAUGUUGGGUAUUUGCUAUAUGUUUAUUCCAGUGAAUGUAUAAUAUCCACCCUUUAGGGCAGAUCAGUAAAUCAAUUCCUACAGCUGUACAACCCUGAGCAUUUCAUGCAUGCAAUUAAUAAAACUAUAGGUUUGAAUGUCCAGCAAUUAAAAAUUAAUUCAACUUCUUUUUCUAUCUCACAGAAAAUCUGGGUUUGCAAUAAACUAGAAUACUUCAUACAAUACAGAUGCCUCCAUUCUCUGCACACCUGUAACUCAGUCUGAUCUACAACAAUGAUAAAAGUUGCAGGUUGUAGUUUCACACAAAUCCAACGUUUUUCCUGAGUUUUUUGCUCACAUUGAAAUUAUCUUAAGGACUUACUUUUGCUUUCUCCUUCAACUCUGGAAAGAUAUGAUUCGUUUAUCCUGUGUUGGUAAAUAGGCCAACCUCAUCGUGCUGUUUUCAAUUGAAUUAAUUCUGUGUAAAAUGUAUUUUCUUCCAGUUGUCUUGUAGACAUCUUUUUCUGACCUGCACAUCCAAUUCCUCUGCAUUGUUCACAUUUAACAAAUUAUCAUAUAAUUUCAGAGACAACUGUUCAGCUUUAUAAAAUAUGAAACAACAUUAAUAGUUAAUAUUUUAUCAAUUAGCAUUUUAAAAAUAUUUAUUAUAUUUUAGUAUGAUGAGGGCCAGCCCCAACAAUUUAAUGCAAAAAAAAAAUUUUUAUAAAACUUAGAUUAAUACAUAAAUGUUAACACACUUGAAAUAUAAGCUGCAGUUACAAGAGGUGAGCUUGCAAUUACAGUUCCUAUAAACUGUUUGCACAAUGAUGCUGUGAAAAAAAAAAAAACAACUACUUUUUCACUGACAUAACUCUGGGUUCUUGACUAGUACCAGUCUCCGCAUUAUUUAAAAAAGACAAUUCCAUAUUAAUGGACACUGCAAAUCCCCACACCCCUGACACAAGACUGACACCAUGAAUGCUUUCAAGCAUCAGCACUUCAUUAUUCCCCAGUGCAGCCUUUUAUACCCCUUUGCCCUAUGCAUAACACCUGUGUGCCCUUUUAGCCCCUUGUCAUUGCUCAGUGCACUUCAGCGUUUCAGCGCUCCUUUUCCCUUAACAUGGUCACCUGUUUUACACAGCUGCACCUUACCAGGGGUGAGCUUGCCUGCAGCACUAUCUCUAUUCUCUUACAAUGCAUUCUCUCACACACCCCCCAGUCUUACACAAACCUCUCAGUUGUGCUUGCAGCACAGAAAUGUAGAUACAGGUUUGUUUUUUCCUGAUUAGCAAUUGCACACCCUCCAUGCUCUAGAGAUUAGAGGACAAGGUCUCUGUUUCAUGGGUGGUAUCGUACAGAUAAUUAAUAAAAAAUGAAACAGGGGGCCUAAAACUACAUCCUGCUUCAGAAAAAAAAAAAAAUCAAGAUUUCUUAAUAUUGGAGAUUAAUGUAGACACAGUGGUUUGAGGCUUGAUUAUCUCCUGGUUUAUUCUCUCCCUCUAGUGGUACAUCCCCAGGAAGAGAGUAUCCACUGGGUAUUAAAUGACAAUGUUCAUAUUUUCCACACAAUUAUAAAUGGGAAAGCUUUAAGAAAUGGCCCUACAUGGAGAAGUUUCACAAAUGCAUUUUUUGCAACACUGUUGGAAUUUUUCCUUCUCUUUUUUCUGCCUAAGUCAGUUCUUGAUAACAAAUAAACAAUUUUCUGUGCAGAAAACAAACAUCUUUUGGAGUACACAGAAUCACAAAGUAGCUGCAGUUAAAAUCACUUGUGGAAUCAGCAGAACACAGAGAUGGAAACAAUCACUGUCAUUUUUAAAGCAGCAACAGCAAGCCUACUCAUUUGUUUGCAGUUCUGCAGCACAAAAGUCGCAGCUUUGAUGAGUUCCUCAUCCUGAGAUUCUGUCAAUAGCUGAAUCAUAAGUGGCAGACCAUUGUUCUGAAGCAGCUCACACUGGUUUUCUUCUAGAACAAGACAUGGUAAAGGAAAAGGUUUGAUUUCAGCCCCACACACCUUAACCUUACAGUAAUUUUAGGAGCCAAAACUGGCAACUUUCUGCAAGUUUCUGUAGAAAGAGAGGUUUUCAUUACAGACCCAAGCGUGCUGCAGUGACAGCAGGAGAGCUUUACAUCACACAGGAUGAUUUGACCAGAACUCAGAUUUCUGUAAGAGUUUGAAGGAUUGAGACCACUUAUUCGAUGGAGUUCCAAGCUCAUUUAAUUGUGGCCUAA
ensembl:lncRNA